GGGGAAUUUCUGGACACAAAAUCAUUUGGUCUGGCCCUGCCGAGGCAUUAGGGCUAAGUUAAUUAAAUGUAGGACCAAAUACAACCGGCUAAGUUGGUAAUUGUGUGUGGCCCGAGAAUGAUGGUGUAAGUGUCCAA